UACGUAGGGUGCAAGCGUUAAUCGGAAUUACUGGGCGUAAAGCGUGCGCAGGCGGUUAUAUAAGACAGUCGUGAAAUCCCCGGGCUCAACCUGGGAACUGCGAUUGUGACUGUAUGGCUAGAGUGUGUCAGAGGGGGGUAGAAUUCCACGUGUAGCAGUGAAAUGCGUAGAUAUGUGGAGGAAUACCGAUGGCGAAGGCAGCCCCCUGGGAUAACACUGACGCUCAUGCACGAAAGCGUGGGGAGCAAACAGG
rnacentral:rRNA from 1 species